rnacentral:rRNA from 1 species
UGAGGAAUAUUGCGCAAUGGGGGAAACCCUGACGCAGCGACGCCGCGUGGAUGAUGAAGGCCUUCGGGUCGUAAAAUCCUGUCAGGUGGAAAGAAGUGUAUUAUACCUAAUACGUAUGAUACUUGACGGUACCACCGAAGGAAGCACCGGCUAACUCCGUGCCAGCAGCCGCGGUAAUACGGAGGGUGCGAGCGUUGUUCGGAAUUACUGGGCGUAAAGCGCGCGUAGGCGGCUUGUUAAGUCAGAUGUGAAAGCCCAUGGCUCAACCAUGGACGUGCAUUUGAAACUGACAGGCUUGAGUACUGGAGGGGGUGGUGGAAUUCCCGGUGUAGAGGUGAAAUUCGUAGAUAUCGGGAGGAAUACCGGUGGCGAAGGCGACCACCUGGCCAGAUACUGACGC